UUGAACGCUGGCGGCAUGCCUUACACAUGCAAGUCGAACGGUAACAGGUCUUCGGAUGCUGACGAGUGGCGAACGGGUGAGUAAUACAUCGGAACGUGCCCGAUCGUGGGGGAUAACGCAGCGAAAGCUGUGCUAAUACCGCAUACGAUCUACGGAUGAAAGCGGGGGAUCGCAAGACGUCGCGCGGACGGAGCGGCCGAUGGCAGAUUAGGGAGUUGGUGGGAUAAAAGCCCACCAAGGCGACGAUCUGUAGCUGGUCUGAGAGGACGACCAGCCACACUGGAACUGAGACACGGUCCAGACUCCUACGGGAGGCAGCAGUGGGGAAUUUUGGACAAUGGGCGCAAGCCUGAUCCAGCAAUGCCGCGUGCAGGAUGAAGGCCUUCGGGUUGUAAACUGCUUUUGUACGGAACGAAACGGUCUGCCUUAAUACGGUGGGCUAAUGACGGUACCGUAAGAAUAAGCACCGGCUAACUACGU
rnacentral:rRNA from 1 species